GACGAACGCUGGCGGCGUGCUUAACACAUGCAAGUCGAACGGUGAAGCGCCUUCCUUUUUGGUGGGUGUGGAUGAGUGGCGAACGGGUGAGUAACACGUGAGUAACCUGCCCCCUUCUUCUGGAUAACCGCAUGAAAGUGUGGCUAAUACGGGAUAUUCUGGGUCUGUCGCAUGAUGGGUCUGGGAAAGAUAUUGUUUCGGUGGGGGAUGGGCUCGCGGCCUAUCAGCUUGUUGGGGGGGUGAUGGCCUACCAAGGCGGUGACGGGUAGCCGGCCUGGGAGGGUGGACGGCCCCACUGGGACUGAGGCACGGCCCAGACUCCUACGGGAGGCAGCAGUGGGGAAUAUUGAACAAUGGGCGCAAGCCUGAUGCAGCGACGCCGCGUGAGGGAUGGAGGCCUUCGGGUUGUGAACCUCUUUCGCCAGUGAAGCAGGCCUGCCUCGUUUGUGGGUGGGUUGACGGUAGCUGGAUAAGAAGCGCCGGCUAACUACGUG
rnacentral:rRNA from 1 species